CCUAUGGGAGGCAGCAGUGGGGAAUAUUGGACAAUGGGGGGAACCCUGAUCCAGCCAUGCCGCGUGUGUGAAGAAGGCCCUCGGGUUGUAAAGCACUUUCAGUGAGGAAGAACGCCUGGUGGUUAAUACCCAUCAGGAAAGACAUCACUCACAGAAGAAGCACCGGCUAACUCCGUGCCAGCAGCCGCGGUAAUACGGAGGGUGCGAGCGUUAAUCGGAAUUACUGGGCGUAAAGCGCGCGUAGGAGGCUUGAUAAGCCGGUUGUGAAAGCCCCGGGCUCAACCUGGGAACGGCAUCCGGAACUGUCAAGCUAGAGUGCAGGAGAGGAAGGUAGAAUUCCCGGUGUAGCGGUGAAAUGCGUAGAGAUCGGGAGGAAUACCAGUGGCGAAGGCGGCCUUCUGGACUGACACUGACACUGAGGUGCGAAAGCGUGGGUAGCAAACAGGAUUAGAUACCCCUGUAGUC
rnacentral:rRNA from 1 species